rnacentral:rRNA from 1 species
UUGCCAGCGGUCCGGCCGGGAACUCAAAGGAGACUGCCAGUGAUAAACUGGAGGAAGGUGGGAUGACGUCAAGUCAUCAUGGCCCUUACGACCAGGGCUACACACGUGCUACAAUGGCGCAUACAAAGAGAAGCGACCUCGCGAGAGCAAGCGGACCUCAUAAAGUGCGUCGUAGUCCGGAUUGGAGUCUGCAACUCGACUCCAUGAAGUCGGAAUCGCUAGUAAUCGUGGAUCAGAAUGCCACGGUGAAUACGUUCCCGGGCCUU